GGAUUACUGGGUUUAGAGGCAUUUGCUGAAUGAUACAGCUCCCGAUGAGAAGGGAUGGGAAAAGGGAUGGGAAAGGGGAAGGAGCUGAUGGGAGUGGGCCGGGGCUGCUGGCCCCCCCCCUCCCCCCAGUGCUGUCUGCAUGGUAGUGGGCCGCUGUGAUUGUGCUUUCAUCCACCAUUCGGAGUCAGGGCUACUCAUCAUCAUCAUCGCUGUCGUCAUUAGACUCUUCGUCAGAAUUAUCGCCAUCGUCAUCGUCAUCAUCAUCCUCAUCGUCAUCCCCGUCAUCCCCAUCUUCAUUGUCAUCAUCUUCAGUGUUUAUCUUUCCAGAAAGCACAUCCUCGAUCCAGUCCUCCAGCUCCUCGACUGUGGGCAGGUCAUCAUCAUCAGGGAUCUCCAUCCAGACACUGUCAGCCUGCAGCGAGGGACCGAGUGAGUGAGUACCGGAAGGACCAGCCAGACCAGAGGGUUCCAAGCAGCCGGGCCCAGGCAUCAGGAACAUGUGCACACUGUUUCAUGGGAAUGCCUCA